UCUGGCGGCAGUUGCGCGGUGGUCCCACCUGACCCCAUGCCGAACUCAGAAGUGAAACGCCGUAGCGCCGAUGGUAGUGUGGGGUCUCCC
rnacentral:rRNA from 1 species